GGACUACCAGGGUUUCUAAUCCUGUUUGCUCCCCACGCUUUCGCGCCUCAGCGUCAAUAUCGGUCCAGAGAGCCGCCUUCGCCACCGGUGUUCUUCCCAAUAUCUACGAAUUUCACCUCUACACUGGGAAUUCCACUCUCCUCUCCCGAAUUCAAGCCAUCCCGUCCCAAGCGCAAUUCCCAGGUUGAGCCUGGGGCUUUCACGCCUGACAAAGAUGGCCGCCUACGCGCCCUUUACGCCCAGUAAUUCCGAACAACGCUCGCCCCCUUCGUAUUACCGCGGCUGCUGGCAC
rnacentral:rRNA from 1 species